UNGGACUUAGCUGGGUGGUUAAGAAAUAAA
rnacentral:piRNA from 1 species